GAUGAACGCUGGCGGCGUGCCUAAUACACGCAAGUCGAGCGAACAGACGAGGAGCUUGCUCCUCUUACGUUAGCGGCGGACGGGUGAGUAACACGUGGAUAACCUACCUAUAAGACUGGGAUAACUUCGGGAAACCGGAGCUAAUACCGGAUAAUAUAUUAAACCGCAUGGUUCAAUAGUGAAAGACGGUUUUGCUGUCACUUAUAGAUGGAUCCGCGCCGCAUUAGCUAGUUGGUAAGGUAACGGCUUACCAAGGCAACGAUGCGUAGCCGACCUGAGAGGGUGAUCGGCCACACUGGAACUGAGACACGGUCCAGACUCCUACGGGAGGCAGCAGUAGGGAAUCUUCCGCAAUGGGCGAAAGCCUGACGGAGCAACGCCGCGUGAGUGAUGAAGGUCUUCGGAUCGUAAAACUCUGUUAUUAGGGAAGAACAAAUGUGUAAGUAACUAUGCACGUCUUGACGGUACCUAAUCAGAAAGCCACGGCUAACUACGUG
rnacentral:rRNA from 1 species